GCAUCUGUGGCUCAGUUGGUAGAGCAUGGUGUUUGUGACAUAAGCAUGUUGUUUGCAACGCCAGGGUUGUGGGUUUGAUUCCCACGGGGGGCC
rnacentral:tRNA from 1 species